UUUAGGCGAUAAUGACAAUGGUACUAUGUUUGCACUUCUUCACAGUUGUAGCACACGAAGAUUCAGUUACGUGUGAAGCAGAAAUGAACCCUGAUAUAUAGAGCAUACAUUCUUAUGGUGAAGCCAAAGAUUUUGUAGUCAGAGCUGGUGAUACAUUGUCUGAUGAAAUAUCCAAUGCAGACAUUAUGGCCGGUCCUUCCAGUGGAAGGACAACACAUUCACCCAUUUCCAUUGUAUCUUAAUCAUAUGAGUAAUUUUGGGUGUCCUGCAAUACAGAAUUACAUUAGUUGAAUUUAAGAAAUCUUUGAAACACUCACUGAUGUUUACAGGAAUGAAGGUAGUAACUGUGCAAGUAUCUUGCGAAAUGGCUUAUGAAACAAGGCUCAGAGACAUUGGCAUCCACAUGUCUUGCUAGAGGCCAAAGAAAGUACACCAAUACCUGACAUGCUAUGAUUAAGGUGUCUGGUACUUCUUCAUGUCCAGAAACAACGCACGGACCCAAGAAGACAAGAGGCCGCCCCCUGAGAUAGCCCAAGAUAGAAGAUAUCCUUACGGAACAAGGUUAUAAACUGAAUUAACUUCAUUGGAGACUACACAGAUAUUGCAGUCAGCUGCAUGUUUUCUCUAGUCAGAGGUGUUACUUGCGCUGGUGUCCUUCCAAUUGUCUCAAAUAGGUGUGCCAGUGCAGUGCUGCAAGGUGGCAGCAGUGGCAAGGAAGUAACUGCAACAUGGCGGACGUGCGUUUGAGCUUUGAAGCGCAGAAGCAGAUAAUUAAGUGGUACUGGAAGUUUGAGAAUGUAGCUGCAAUUCGAAGACAGUGGAGAAGUGACUAUGGUACAGAACCACUUUUAAGGUUAACAAUUACAUGUCUAUGAGACAAAUUUGAAAUUCAUGGAACAGUGUGUGAUGUGCAUAGAGGUCGAUCAGGGCGACCUUGUACAGCUACAAGUGAUGAUUCCACAACUGUGGUCUUGGAACUGUUUCAGCAUUCGCCUCAAAAAUAUUCAAGGCAACCGGCACGUGAGAGUAAUGUAAGUGCUAGUAGUGUGCUACGCAUUCUGAAGAAAGGCAAGUUUCGUGUGUACAGUCCAAGGCCUGGAGCAACAGCUAAGUGACGACAAUCCAGAGCGAUGGUUAGAAUUUUGUGAAUGGGUUCAGGAGAUGAUGAGACGUGAACCGGAAUUUAUGGGUAGCAUAAUUUUGUCGGGUGAAGCCCGAUUCAAACUCAAUGGAACUGUCAAUAGGCACAAUUGUGUGUACUAGGCUGAAGAUAAUCCUCACAUUACAGUUGAAAAGGCUGUGAAUUUGCCUGGUGUAAAUGUGUGGUGUAGUUUGUCUGCAAGGGGACUCAUUGGGCCUUUUCGCUUUGAAGGUAGUGUUACUGGAGAAACGAACCUAACAGUGCUUGCUGACACCAUAUUCCCUGCCAUUCGUGCAUUAUAUGGUAAUGAUGAGUUUUAUUUCCAACAAGAUGGUGCCCCGCCACACUAUCAUAGGGGCGUACGAGCAUACCUGGAUCACAAUAUGCCAGACCAGUGGAUAGGACGCAGGGGACCAAUUGAGUUUCCUGCACGCUCUCCAGACCUCACGCCACUGGAUUUCUUCUUAUGGGGCACAGUAAAAGAUGAGGUGUACAAACGUAAACCACGUAACCUGGACACACUUUGGAAUGAGAUUCAGGAGGUGUGCGCAGAAAUCUCAUUGGACACUUUGGUACGAUGUACGGAAUCUGUGGUGACUCGUACUCAGAAAUGUAUUGAUGCUGAAGGCCACCAGUUUGAACAUUAAUCACAUUUGCAAAGCACAUUUAUUUUUCCAAUUGGACUUUAAGCUUUCCAUUUCCAGAAAUUUAACAUUGUAGAACGGGGAAUAAAUUUUCUAUGAUGUUUCAAA